GACGAACCGUGCGAACGUUGUUCGGAAUCACUGGGCUUAAAGGGCGCGUAGGCGGACCGCCAAGUCCGAGGUGAAAUCCUCCAGCUUAACUGGAGAACUGCCUCGGAUAUUGGAGGUCUCGAGGGAGGUAGGGGCAAGCGGAACUGUGGGUGGAGCGGUGAAAUGCGUUGAUAUCCACAGGAACUCCGGUGGCGAAGGCGGCUUGCUGGACCUUUUCUGACGCUGAGGCGCGAAAGCCAGGGGAGCAAACGGG
rnacentral:rRNA from 1 species